CAGCAGCCGCGGUAAUACGAAGGUCCCAAGCGUUGUUCGGAAUCACUGGGCGUAAAGGGAGCGUAGGCGGCGCGGUAAGUCAGAUGUGAAAUCUCAGAGCUCAACUCUGAAACUGCAUCCGAUACUGCCGUGCUAGAGUAAUGGAGGGGUAACUGGAAUUCUCGGUGUAGCGGUGAAAUGCGUUGAUAUCAAGAAGAACACCGGUGGCGAAGGCGGCUCUCUGGAAUGCUACUGACACUGAGGCACGAAAGCUGGGGGAGCGAAAGGGAUUAGAUACCCCUGUAGUCCUAGCAGUAAACGGUGCACGCUUGGUGUGAGGGGAUUCGACCCCCCUUGUGCCGGAGCUAACGCGUUAAGCGUGCCGCCUGGGGAGUACGGUCGCAAGACUAAAACUCAAAGAAAUUGACGGGGACCCGCACAAGCGGUGGAGUAUGUGGCUUAAUUCGAUGCAACGCGAAGAACCUUACCUAGGCUUGACAUGCAUCUCUAAGCACGUGAAAGCGUGUGACCCUUCGGGGAUUUUGCACAGGUGCUGCAUGGCCGUCGUCAGCUCGUGUCGUGAGAUGUUGGGGUAAGUCCCGCAACGAGCGCAACCCUUGUGAUAGUGCCCAGCACGUAUGGGUGGGAACUCUAGUCAGACUGCCCAGAUCAACUGGGAGGAAGGUGGGGACGACGUCAGGUCAGUAUGGCCCUUACGCCUAGGGCUGCACACGUAGUACAAUGCUCAGUACAAUGAGAACCGAUACCGCGAGGUGGAGGAAAUCUAUAAAACUGGGCUCAGUUCGGAUUGGAGGCUGCAACUCGCCUCCAUGAAGUUGGAAUCGCUAGUAAUGGGGCAUCAGCUACGGCCCCGUGAAUACGUUCCCGGGUCUUGUACACACCGCCCGUCACAUCAUGGGAGUCGAGUGCUCCAGAAGUGGCCACGCUAACCCGCAAGGGAGGCAGGUCCCCAAGGAGUGUUUGGUAACUGGGGUGAAGUCGUAACAAGGUAGCCGUA
rnacentral:rRNA from 1 species